rnacentral:lncRNA from 1 species
GGUCAGUGAGACUUUUUUCGUAACAUGUAUUACGCGGUCUGACACAAAAUGCGACAAUUUACAUGUUUUUUAUUUAUACAUAUGUAUAAGCUUAUUUUUUAAUGCAUGGUUUAUUCCUGUUCGACCAUUAUUUGUUUUAACACGUCUUACUUCAUGUUUAAUUGGACCUAUUUCCGCGACAAACGUUGACAGGCAGUGCUUAGGUCUAUCCUAAACAUGGCCACCAUGAUGGAGUAAAGCUUCAACUUUAAAUUUCACAUUUUUAGAAGAAAACUUAUACAUUUUCUAUAUUUUCACAGGAAUGUUUCAACGGAAGAAAUUAUAUCAGUCAUCUUAUCCAUAUGAAAUCAUUGGAGAAAGUUUCUUGUUGGAUUUAAUAAUGGUUUAAGUUGUCUGGAAGCUGGAAACGAAAAAAAAAAUAAUUGCAUCAAUACCGUAAGCGUUUUAAUUUCUCUCGAUAGUUUUAAAGCUUUUACAAACCUUUUGUGGGAUUUUUCAAGUUGUGGAUCUAUCUUAAUUGCAAUCAUUUUGCUGUGAAGAAUUGAAGAAACGAUUGGGAAAUAUUUUAUAAUUUCUAUGCGUUUUCUGGCAGAAAGUAAAUAUUGGUGGUCGAAGGGAGAGUAGUAAUGUUCAGUGAUUGACGUACUUUUAAGAAGCCAAUAAACUGAAGAAUACAUAAAGGGAUAUAACAGUUUGUAUUUUUGAGGCGCCGAAAGUGCACUGGUCACUUCCCCCAUAUUUUUGAAUUGGUGGAUGAACGAGUCAGCGACACCCCUUACACCACUUAUACUAAACGAAAGUAUGACAUUUCUCAUAUGGCUUUAAAGGUCAUAAAGGAAAUACAUCUGAACUUCUAGGUUCUAAAAGAAUGUCAUCAGAGGACAAGAGUCUGGAUCCCUCUGACCACGGCCCUUCUAUUCCCCUGAGCAGUACUGGGGGGCGCACCCCCUCCCCUGCCCCCACAGACCGGCGCCCCCGCGGCCGGCCUCGUAAGGAUGCAGGCUCUGGAUUACCCACACCCAGAAAGAAGGGACGUAGCAGAGGCCGAGCCCAGGUAGAGGAUGAGGACAGCAUGGACGGGACGGAGACCGCCGAAGCAGAGAACAUGCAGGAUAUGGGUGAGUUGACUGUGUCUCUGUCGUCAUGGAAAGGUUUGUGUGUGUGUGUACAUGGCUGUAUCAGUGUGCCUCU